rnacentral:lncRNA from 1 species
GCCUGACCACCAGGCUGUUCUGUUUCAGCAGUCUGAUUCCUGUAUGAUGAUCACAAACAUCCCAUUGCAGUUCACUGUUGGGGGCUUCAAGAUGAUUUUCCAACAAGCUUUCCAGUGUAAUAUCCAUGUGUAAACGAGAACCAGUUAUUUUAUGCUGUCUGCCUGCCAGUGGGGAUACUGCCAGUCUGGUCAGGCUGAAGGAGAGAGCAGAGCAGUGGUUGUACCUGAUCAAGCGCACUAGGACAGGUCACCUGGUACCCACAGCACCUCACUGGACUCUUUGGGUGGAAAUUAACAAAGAGAAUGAUCAACUGAACCUUACUGAAGGAAUCAAGACGGACAGAAGGAAGCCUUCUGGGGUAACCAUGUGUCCCAAUUCUCUCAACAAGAAACGGCAAUCUCUCCAGAGUCAGAUGUCAAAGCUUCAGAACACAAAAGAUGGAAGACAUGGUAGGCACACAGGACUGCCCAGACUUUGUUGUCUACUCUGAUUUUCGGACAAUGGGUGUCAUGACUUUCUCCACAAACCAAAGGCUCCCUGGCCUGAACUUCUUGUUCCUAUGACAGUGUAAUAGUUUCUUACCAACUGCCUUCAGUCAGCUCCAGGAUGAGCAGCCUCACUGAAGGCCUGAACUAGCAGGGAGGACCAUCAAGUUCAUCUCAGUGUCACCAUGCUUAGAUGAGAUGCCAGUCUGAAAACUUGGUGACUGGAUCCGUAUCACAAACCAAAUCUCUAACUUGGAAGACUAAGCAGCCAUUGAUUGGCUUAUUGCUUAUUAUCUGGAGUCCCUAACUUCCUUCUUUUUUUUAACAAACAAAAUAAAUAUUCAAAAGUUAUUUGCAAAGUAUGCAUUAUGCAAAUCCAGUGGCUGUGUUUCAAGAAGUAUAUUUAAGAAGCAGAAUAAGCCCUUCAAUUGGCAGUGCUUCUAGGUACAGUACUGUUAGCUUUGCUGGAAGAUCCAAAUGCUAUCAUUGUUCAAAUGCUGUGCCGUCAGGCUUGCAUAUUAACUGAAAGGAAUGUGAACAGAUGAUAUAGGAGCAUAGGAAGCAUGUCUUCAUAGAAUAUUUGCCAUCGCAACGGAGCUCACUAAUGACCCAGCUACAACCCUAAUUCACCUUAAUCCUAAUUCACCUUAACUCUAACCCUAACCCACCUUAACUCUAGGCCACCCUACUCCUGGUCCCUCUGUUUCCUUCCAGCUGACACUCAGCCAUGGGGCCAUUGUUCCGUAUUUUUUCCCUUACAGCAGCAUUGAUUUCUAGGUCCUAGUUCUCAGAACUUCUCACAUUGCUAGCUGAUUGGCUAGAUGACUGGCUCCAUCCUUGGUGGUUUAAGACAAUUUCAUUUCUUGUCUGUGAAGAAUACACCCAUGAGGAGAGAGACAGUUGAAGGGAAAGGACCAAAAUUCAGUGUCUAUAAACUAGAAAUGAGAUGAUUUAUGUAUUCACAUCAGGACACCUAUUUUGAAUAUCAUUAACAUUUUAACGCCAUCGUACAACUACAUGCAUCAACUCAACAAUCACUCAACAGCGAUCUGAUUGGAUUUUCUCUUACUAGAGCACUGUACUAGAAGCCCUUGGGGGAUCUGGGGAUAUGCAAGGAAGAAAAUGAUAGUUCCCCUCUUGCUCUGAGUCUUAUGAAAUGCCAGGCUUAGUUCCAGUGUUGGUUUGAGAGGGUCAGCUGGAGCUGGCCUCUGAUGACCAUUGUCUUGAGUAGCUGCUGACCCUGCUGUAGAGCAAGCUGAUGCC